CAACCCCUCCGGGCCCAGCGCCCGGGUGUCGGGGCCCUCCCUCGCGGGAGGCCCCCAGAGAAAUUGGCGGACCCGCCGCGGCUCCGAGCGCAGUAGUAAAAUUCUCGCUUAGGACGUCCGCGGGGGAGCUCCGGCCGUAAAACCCUCGGCGAGAGCCGUGACUCCAAA
rnacentral:misc_RNA from 1 species